UACGUAGGGUGCAAGCGUUGUCCGGAAUUAUUGGGCGUAAAGAGCGUGUAGGCGGCCCGAUUAGUCUGCUGUGAAAGCCCAGGGCUCAACCCUGGAAUGCCGGUGGAUACUGUCGGGCUAGAGUCCGGAAGGGGCGAGUGGAAUUCCUGGUGUAGCGGUGAAAUGCGCAGAUAUCAGGAGGAACACCAAUGGCGAAGGCAGCUCGCUGGGACGUGACUGACGCUGAGACGCGAAAGCGUGGGGAGCAAACAGG
rnacentral:rRNA from 1 species